rnacentral:rRNA from 1 species
AGUGAACGCUAGUGGCGUGCUUAACACAUGCAAGUCGAACGGACGAUAUUUGUGCUUGCACAAAUAAAGUUAGUGGCAAACGGGUGAGUAAUACAUGAGAAUUUUCCUUGCAGUACGGAAUAACUAUUGGAAACAGUAGCUAAUACCGUAUAUUGCCGAGAGGUGAAAGAUUUAUCGCUGCAAGAUAAGCCCAUGCAAGAUUAGCUUGUUGGUAAGGUAAUGGCUUACCAAGGCUACGAUCUUUAGCUGGUUUGAGAGGAUGAUCAGCCACACUGGAACUUAGACACGGUCCAGACUCCUACGGGAGGCAGCAGUGAGGAAUAUUGCACAAUGGGCGCAAGCCUGAUGCAGCGACGCCGCGUGAAGGAUGAAGGUUUUCGGAUCGUAAACUUCUAUCAGCAGGGAAGAAAAAAUGACGGUACCUGACUAAGAAGCCCCGGCUAACUACGUGCCAGCCGCCGCAGUAAUAC